rnacentral:rRNA from 1 species
AUUGAACGCUGGCGGCAUGCCUUACACAUGCAAGUCGAACGGCAGCACGGGCUUCGGCCUGGUGGCGAGUGGCGAACGGGUGAGUAAUACAUCGGAACGUGCCCUGUCGUGGGGGAUAACUAGUCGAAAGAUUAGCUAAUACCGCAUACGACCAGAGGGUGAAAGCGGGGGAACGUAAGACAUCGAGCGAUAGGAGCGGCUGAUGUCUGAUUAGCUAGUUGGUGGGGUAAGAGGCUACCAAGGCGACGAUCAGUAGCUGGUCUGAGAGGACGAUCAGUCACACUGGGACUGAGACACGGCCCAGACUCCUACGGGAGGCAGCAGUGGGGAAUUUUGGACAAUGGGGGCAACCCUGAUCCAGCAAUGCCGCGUGUGUGAAGAAGGCCUUCGGGUUGUAAAGCACUUUUGUCCGGAAAGAAAUCGCGCUGGUUAAUACCUGGCGUGGAUGACGGUACCGGAAGAAUAAGCACCGGCUAACUACGUGCCAGCCGCCGCCGUAAUAC